UUCAGCUCCGGUACUAGCUCCAUCAGGUCUCCUCCUGAUGGAGAACUCUCAGCUUCCAUGUCUGCCUGCUUGCUGUCAUGCUUCACUCAAUGAGGAUAAUGGAUUAAAUCUCCGAAAUUUUCUACAAGAUGGUCCAAGAAGUUCCUAUUGCUUGAAGAGAUGAAUCUAUGUCUGUAACACAUUUUGCAAACCUUCAGCCAGGAGUUAAGAAGAUCCUUUGGAACUGGAGUUACAGACAGUUGGAGCUGCCUGAUGUGGGUGCUGGGAAGUAAGCCUGGGUCUUCUAUAAGAACAAAAGAUGCU
rnacentral:lncRNA from 1 species